rnacentral:rRNA from 1 species
UACGUAGGAGGCGAGCGUUGUCCGGAGUUACUGGGCGUAAAGGGUGCGCAGGCGGCGGUUCGCGUGGCGAGAUGAAAUCUCCUGGCUUACCUGGGAGGAUGGUCGCCAGACGGGAUCGCUUGAGGGUCGGAGAGGGGCGUGGAAUUCCGGGUGGAGCGGUGAAAUGCGUAGAGAUCCGGAGGAACACCGACGGCGUAGGCAGCGCCCUGGACGACACCUGACGCUGAGGCACGAAAGCGUGGGGAGCAAACAGG